AACAACCUGGGGUUCAUGGUUUCUAUGGGGCAUCUACAGAGUGGCUGAUCUCUGCCAAAAGGCCAGAGGCUGAUCCCUCACCCCAGGGAGACCCGCAGUGGGGCCAUACACGCAGACGCCAGCACGCGGGCUUAGUUAGCUCAGGACUGUCGGGUUGAACUGAAUGCCACCAUUCCCUGCCUCUAGAGAACCAGAACCGGGGUAGCAGAGCGACCCUACUAUCAGUUGAGCUACACUAGCAUUUCCAGGCUGCUGCUGCCUCCCUCUCUGACCUCGGAUUGGUGCAUCAGGCUAAGGCCCCAUUUUUCCCUCAGGGAAGCCAGACUCUCUUCAAUAAGGAUUGACCCAGACCUUGUACGUCUCUUCUUCCUUCUCCCCUCCUGGACCUUCAUUGGCAGAGUCACCUCUCCAGCCUGUGGGGCUUGACCACCGAGGGGGCAGAUGGAAUCUGCACGUUUCCCCCUUGUCUGUCGGCACCAGAGUUAUUUGAAUCUCUGCACCAUACAUGCAAAACCCAGCACUUGACUUUCGAAGACCCCACCCUCUCGCCCUGCUCACCUGCCAGGAAGCUUAGCUUGCGCCUCUCUCCUUGUCUAAUCAGGAGUUCCUACUGAACAUGAACUUCACUCUGCUCCUCCAUAUUCCUCGUACGGAAUACUGGCUAACGCUGUUUAAAAAUAAAGUUGUAAGUACCAAGGAGUGGAAUGAAAAGCGAGAGCAGAAGAACCAGCAGCUACGGAAACCCACCCCAGGCUCGGGUACCGUUUUGAGGGGACAGAGGUGCCAUGGCUACAUGGCUCUCUACUUUUAAGAGAGACCUGCUGGAGAAACUGGGCGGAGGCCCUCUCUCUGGGACUCUGCGCUGCAGACCCGAGGAAGCCAGUCAUCUGCACCGUUGAUCUUCACCUUGGUCCAAGUUUUCCUGUAAAGCAGGGGAUGGGGCAGCUGUGGCUGUGGAAUGGAAGCAGUGACCUAAUUUUUCUGUUCUGCCACUGGGACCUAAUGGGUGUCAUUCAGCACCAGAAAGGAGCCAGGAAGCCAGGGCCAACUUGAGAGCUUGCUUGGAGAUUGCAAUUUCAGUGGGGGACAGUUCAUUAGCGCCUUGGAUAGAAAGGUAAGAGUGGGCUUAGGGGAGGCCUAGGCACUACUUCCAUUGCCCCUCUCUCCUCUCACUCCAUGUGGUGGUUUGAAUGAGAAAUGUCCUUCGCAGGCCAUUGAACACUUGGUCCCCGCUGGCGGUGCUGUUGAAGGGAGGUUAUGGACAUCUAGGAGGGCAGGCUGGCUGGAGAAAGCACAUCACUGAGGGUGGUAUGGAGGGGGGGGGAGUUUAUAGUAUCACUCCCACUUCUUGUUCUUUCUCUCUGCCUCCUGUUUGUGGAUGGAAUGGUAUCAGCCAGUUUCCUACCCCUGCUCCCCCAUCUGCUGUGCCAAGCCAUUUGUCCCCCAUCCUGAGGAAGCUAUUCCUCUAGAACCAGAGCUAAAAGAAAUACUUUUUCCCCUUAAGUUGCUUUUGGUCUUGUUUUUUUCUUUCCUUUUCUUUUUUCUUUUCUUUCUUUUCUUUUCUUAUCACGGCAACAGAAUAGUAACCAAUACACCCCAUUAUUCUUAUCUGGAUGAAUAUAAAUGAGUCCUGUCACUGUGUGUAUGCAUGUAUAUAUGUAUACAUAUGCUUAUUGCAGCGGUUCUCAACCUUCCUAACGCUGCGUGCGACCCUUUAAUAUAGCGCCACAUGUUCUGGUGACCCCCCCCAACCAUACCAUUAUUUUUGUUUCUACUUCACAACUGUAAUUUUGCUACUGUUCCAAAUCAUGAUGUAAAUAUCUGAUCUGCAGGAUAUCAGCUAUGUGACCCCUGUGAAAGGGCCAUUUGACUUCCCCAAAGGGUCAUGACCCACAGGUUGAGAAUGGCUGACUUAUAGGCUCUUUAGACAUUCCCUCAUUUAAGCCUCCUGAGCCUUGGGAUAACAGGUGAGAGCCCACCCCUGGCUUUCCCUUGUCCUGUUAAAUACAAAUGCCUCAUGUCAGACUCUAGGAUCACCUGGGAGACACAGUGCUGGGCAUCCUGUGGGAGAGUCCCUUGCUUAUGUUAAUUGGUAUGGGAAGACCCAUCUUAACUGUGGGCAGGAUCAUUGCCUGGGCAGGGGUCCUGGACUGUCUAACGGGGCAGCAGGGUGAAUUUACCCCUCUACUCUCUGAUUGUGGAUGUAGCAGGAACAGCUGCCUAAAGUUCCUGCGGCCUUGCCUUUCUCAUUAUAAGGGACUGUACUUGAAAUGUGAGCUAAAAGAAACCCAUUCUUUUUUAAGUUGCUAAAAAUAAAACAAACCCAACCCCCUUUAACACUGCAUUUCCCGUUUUAUUUUUAUGUGCUCACCCACCACCGAAAAAAUAGGAAAAAAAUAAAGUGUUAGAACC
ensembl:lincRNA RIKEN cDNA 4732490B19 gene